UUGUUAGGAAUAGGAGAACCAUUAUGUAGGAUGGCAGCAAUGAAUCUGCGAAGGAAAAAAGUAAAACCAAAAGAGGAGGCAGCAUAUUUUACAUCUGUUUGUAAAGACAAAGACGGGUUUGAUGUAAAAUAUAUAAAUUCAGAAAAAGGCCGUGGGGUAUUCAGCUGUGUCCAUUUUGAUAAGGGAGAUUUCUUAUUUGAAUACAGAGGGGACCUGAUAAGCAAACAUGAAUCUGAAAACAGACAGAAAUUAUAUCAUGAUGCACUGAAAGUCAGUAUUCAUUCCGCUACAAUGGAAAGCUCUUUUGUGUUGAUGCUUCUCUGGAUGAUGGCUCUCUGGGGAGACUUGUAAAUGAUGAUCAUCUUAACCCAAACAGCAAAAUGAGAACAAUCACAA